CCAAGAUGGACGCCCCCUUGAAUGAAAAACUUUUAAAAUAUUCUUUGCUUUCAAGAUUACUGGUUUUUACUUUGCAGGUAUCUUGUAAAUGAAUUUAAUUCUUAAGUAAAACAAUGUUUCAUUUGCCCCAGGGUCCAAUUACCAUUGACAAGACGUCACAUUAUAAAAAUUAGUUUUCAUUUAUAUUCUAUCGCAACCCCUUCUGUCUUUCCUUGUUUAUUUGUACUUUUAAGGUUCAUGUGGACUCCUUGGCUCAAAUGGCUGAUUUCCCCCUCAAAAUUUACUCUGAAUACAGACAACCCUGUGCAUCUGAAAAAGUUUUAAGGCAUAGCAUGCAGGGCCGUAACUAGGGUUCGAAUGCAGGGGAGGCAGGGUUUGGGGGCCCGGCGCCGAUUUUUUUCUCUCAGUAAAAUGUCUAAAAAUGACCCGUUUUUCUUCGAUUUCCUUACUUAAAGAAACAUCAGUAUUGCUUGAACCUGGAAGCAAUUUUUAUGCAAAAAACAAGCUGAGAUUGCUGUUCGGGUGCGCCAAGGCUCCGUCUUGAAUGCCGUACUUUGACCUAUAAUUAUUAACCGUGACUAAAUACAUUGAAAACGCGUAUUUUUUUCUCAACAUGGCUAUAAGUAACCCGUUUUCCUUCGUUUUCCUUACGUUAAGAAACAUCAGUAUUGCUGGAUCCUGGAAGCAAUUUUUAUGAAAACAUUUAUUAUCUGUAUUUAAAGAUUUUUUUGUUAGAAAUCAAACUGGUAAGUUAAAAAAAUAAAUAAAGCAAGAUCAGAGAUCGCAAGACCUUGAAUUUCAAUAUUGUUGAAAGCUGAACAGACAUGUGUAUAACUACCACCAGGGACUUUUAAUACUAGAAUUUACUUAGUAUAGAAAGUCCCUGCUACAACGAAUGGGAGUGUUUAACUACUCGGGCAUUGACCAUAAUGUUCUCGUACGAUCCGGAGACACGUUUUAAAAAGAUGACAGCUGAUUCAGCCGGUAACGAAUUUCCAAUAUCAUACAAGAUUCACAAUACAAAGGGAACUUCCUCCGCUUAAAUGAGCCCCUAAAUAAAUGUAAAUAGUUAAGUUUUAUUCAGAAUUGUCGAAAGCAAAGUUUCAUAUGUGUUUGAAUAACAGACGGACGGCUAAACUGGAAUCCGCUUGUAGGUGGCACGGUAGUAUUUGCAUUCCAGAAUUUAGGUUGCACGUUUGUGUAUACGUACUUAGGUCAAUGUAUCUAAACAGUGUGAUUGGACAAAAAACACAGUAUCAAUUGAACAUACUUUCCCAAACUGAGGGAUGAAUCAGGUGUAGAAAAAUAUGAAAUAAUUUUACAUACAGAUGAAAAUGAAUUUUUGAGAAUUUUUUUAAAUUUUGUAUUCACUGCACCAUAAAUGACCUAAAAGUACUAGUGGCCUUAGGUUUUUAAAAAUAGCAAAAAAAGUAAACGGUCAUGAUAAAUAUUCAAACUCAUUUCUGAAUAGUAAAAUGAAAGUAUUUCAGUUAACUGAAUGUAGAAUUUUUUGCAGUGUUAGAAAGUGGUGAAAAUUCCAAAAAGGCUAUCAUUAUCCCUUAUGGGCCAGGAAAUACUACCGUGCCACCUGUAUUACGCUACACUCAAACUCUAUGAACAAAGUGUAGCAGUCAGAUGAUAACCAGCUUAACGGACGGCCACACAAAAAAAAAACAAAUACUGAAACGGUUCACUUUCAAUAAAAAGUCCAGAAAAUGACAGAUAUAUCACGUAUCAUGAUAACACUGUUAAAUCUUAAACUUGUAUUGUUUAUAAUAUAAAUUCAAGUUCUUCGUGUACAUAUUGUAAAUAUUUCAUUUUAUAACUUCAAAAAAAAAAAAAAAUGGUGUAGAAAAUUCAGGGGAGGCACUUGCCUCCCCUGCCUCAUAGGUAGUUACGGCCCUGGCAUGCCAUAGAUAAAUAAAAUUCAAAUCAGGGACUUACGAAGUCUUUAACUGUGUAGCGGGGUUGCUUCCCCUCCUUAUAGUCCGACGGCCCCAGCUUGUCUGGCAAAACAGCCGUUGGACGUCAGAGUAGUACAGGUAGAACAUAUAAAGCCAGUCUUUAUCAACUGAGCUAGGGAAUCGAUUCUUUGGCUCAGUAGGUUAAAACACUGACUGUCAUGCAGGCGACCAGGGUUCGAAUCCUGGUGGUGAUUAUAUAAAUUUGUUGAGUAGAUAACAUGCUCUCCAGUUACAUUUGGCGCUCAACUUAAAAAUCCACGAUGGUUAUCUGGAGUAUAGCCAGGGUUUGUGUUGUUAAGAGUCAUAUAUAAAGAUAUGAUGACUCUUGUGGUGGGGGAAUAGUGUAGGGGGUUGCUUCCCUUCCUCAGUACAGGUAGAACAUAUAAAGCCAGUCUUAAUCAACUGAGCUAGGGAAUCAAUUCUUUGGCUCAAUGUGUUAAUGCACUGACUGUCACGUAGGCGACCUGGUUCGAAUCCUGGUGGUGACGAUAUAAAUUUGUAGAGUAGAAUACAACUGUCUAAGAGGGUGGUAAAGGGUUGUUUUCGUUUUUUAUUUCACAUUCAAUGUGUUCUUACUUUUUUAUUUGGCGUUCAGUCGUGCAAGACAGGAGCCUCGUUCAAAGUGUACUGCUUAUUUAAUUUUACGUGCAUCACAAUUUUCUAAUGCUUAUUAAGUUAUUUUGCGUGCUCAGUAUUUUUCAAAUAAAAUUCAAACAUUUGGCAGGGAUCGUCAAGAAAUACUUUUUAAAAGAUGAACCCAAUUAUAUCAUAAAUGUGUAUACUAAAUCGGGAAUAUCAAGUAAAACAGAGUUAAUAUACAUGUAUCUACAUUUAUACAAGAAGACAGUGACUCAGUCACAAAAGGUUCACGUUUUUAUAAAUUAAAAGUAUUUAUUCUUAGUGCAACGUUCAUGACAGAAAUUAUUUCAUGUUCAACGUGACAUGAACGUGAAAUCAUGUCUUAUUUCACGUUUUUUUUCGUGCAAGCAUCCCCUGUUUAUCACCCUCGUCUAAGUAUAAAGUCCCUGUUCAAAUGCAUUGUAUGAUUUAGAAAAUUAAAAACUGAACUGGAUUUUGCAGUGCACUUUUUUUUGCCCCUGCAAAAGAAAACAGUUAAGUUUCACCCAGGUAGUUUAAAUCACCUAUUAUUGUCAGGUAUCUAUUGUUCAUCUAUUGUCCAGCAUUGAUGUCAAGCAAUACAGCUCACUUCAAUUAUUACUUGUGGGGAACUUCUCAAACCUGUUUCCGAACUUGACUUAUUUUGGCACCUUUUGUAGGAAUGAAAAAAGUGCACCUCAUAAUCCUGUUAAUUUUAUAUUUUUCAAAAACAUCAAACAUAUUUAAAAUUUAUUUAUCUAGGGUAUGCAUGCUAUGCCUUAAAUCUUUUUUAGACUCACAGGUUUGUCUGAUCUGUACACAGAGUAAAUUUUGAGGUGAAAAAUCAGCCAUUUUAGCCAAAGGGUCCACAUGAACCUUAAUGAGAAACAUGUGCAUGUCCCAAGGACCAUUAAAUGAUGAUGUUAAAUUCAUUAAAACCACUUGGAGUCUGUUUAAUUCAAUUUUAAAUAUAAACAAUAAUGCUACUAUGUUAUAAUUAAAUAAUUCUUCUCCAUGUUUUCAGAGGAUUUUACUUAUAUAAUUUGGUCAACUGGCUAUUUCAACACCUAAUAUGUCUGAGUCACCUCAUUGGUCCAACACCUUAAUAGUUAGACACAAACUGUAAUUGAAAAUCUACUCCAUAAAAAAAAAUGAAAAGAAAGCACUUACCAAGUGUUGCAUUUGUAUUUAACAUGUGUAAGUAAUACCAUUAUCCUAUAAAUAUAAGCCAAUCAAAAGCCUUGCAAUAUUUUGCUUUAUAAUUAUAAUAAAUUCAUAGAGUGACCAAACUCUUGUAUAAAAACACUACACAAAAAGUGAAUUUGAUUGAUUGCUGUUUUCUUUAUCUCCUGCAUGUCCAGUGCCAAAUAGUUCUUCAAUCAACCAAAAAAUUCUGCGUUUGGCCAAAAAAAUUUAUGAUUUAACAUGUAUUCUUAUCAAAAUAUUCUCUCAUUCUCGGGAUUCAAGUUCAGUACAUGAAGUUGAUCAUGAGGGUAAAUAAUCUUGACAGAAAUGAAAUGGAUGAAGACUUUGCAGCUAUUUACCUCAAUACAUUCACUUAACAAAAUGCAUCCAUAUAGAUGUGAGGUUAAACAGCAACUUUAUUUCACCAAAACCAAAGACAUCUAACAGCUAACACACAUAACCUGUAAUAUUACUCUGAACAGUCACACUUUGAAAAAAGUCAGUUUCAAAUGGACCACAAAUUCACGUAAGAGAAAAGUAUAUAACAUGGAAUUCAGAUUUACUGAUAAAAUUACCAGUAAUUAGUCAGACUUUUAACUACUAGAAAUAUCAUUGGAGUAGUAUGGAUCAACUGCUUUAUAUAUAACUUUGAUGCUCUUGAACCUCGUUAUUUUGCCAGUCAGAAAUUUAAGGAAUCAAGAACAUUGCAUCAAAAUUGUAGUUUAAUUGAUGUUAAAUAUUUUGCUCAGAUCUAAAUAACACACAUACGGUAAUUUUUGAUAAUUAUAUAUUUUUUAGGUUGUGUUUAACAUCUUGAUACCAGAUCACAAUGCUGAUGUGUUUAAUCCACCAUAUGAUCAAUCUAAGGACAAUCCACUGGAUACAUGUGUUCACUAUAUAUUAGGUGGAUUCAUGAGAUGGGAUGGUCUAUAUUUCCUCCAUGUAGCUGAAAAUGGAUAUAUUUAUGAAAACAGUUUAGCCUUUUUUCCUUUGUUUCCAUGGUGUGUCAGAAUAUUAGCCAAUAGUUUAUGUUUGCCAAUGCAAUUUGUGAUGCAGUAUAGAACAGUACUUAUUGUAUCAGGAUUUAUUUUCAAUUUUUAUAUUUUCUUAAAAACCACAAACGUUUUGUUUAGACUGAGUAAAAGUAUUUUGAAGUCAGAAUCUUUAGCAUAUAAGGCUGCAUUGUUAUUUUGUUUCAAUCCAGCCAGUAUUUUCAUGUCUGCGUUUUAUUCAGAAAUAUCGUUUGCAUAUUUGACUUUUUAUUCAAUGUUGAAAUUUGAAGAAAGAAAAAGAAAUCAUUACGUGAUGUUAUCAAGUUUAAGUUGUCUUUCACGUUCUAAUGGAUUACUGACUGCUGGCUUUGAACUUCAUAAAAGGUGUCAGAAUAUUGUGAUACAUUUAUUGUAUGGUAAGAAAGACUUUAUCAGCAAAAUUUCACUCAUUUUGACAGAGAUUUUGAAAGUUAUGAUAUAUUUAAUAUUAAUUUUAUUACCCUUUCUUGUAUAUCAGUUUUACAUAAGUGAUUUGUUUUGCAAUCAAAGUGGAAAGUGGAAAAUACCAGAAUUCCUCAUUCAGUAUGGAAGACAAAGAAGCUACAACUUAGUACAUGAAACAGAUUUUGAUUGGUGCAAAAAUAGAAUACCGUUUGCAUACAGUCAUGUGCAGAAUACUCAUUGGAAUGUUGGAUUUUUGAGAUACUAUGAGUUCAGACAAAUUCCCAAUUUUAUUCUUGCUUUACCUGUGAGUGUUUUGUCUGUCUCAUCUGUUAUAUAUUACUAUAGACAUAAUAGAAGGAGAUGUCUGACAUUAGGAUUGAUACCUGAAAAGAACAUAAAAGACUCAGAGAAAAAUGGAUUUAUGAACAAAAGAAUGUUGCCAUAUAUUGCAUACUUAUUGUUCAUUACUGUAUUUGGAUGGUUUUUUAUACAUAUUCAGGUAAGUUCAGGUCUCUGUAUGGUUUUAUCAUUAGAAGAUUUUUCUUAUCAAAGUCAAGUGUACCAAAACUUUCAGGUAGCUACUUUUUACAAUGUCAGUCAG
rnacentral:lncRNA from 1 species